rnacentral:misc_RNA from 1 species
CGAGCGUCAUUAUCAACCAUCAAGCUCUGCUUGGUAUUGGGUGUCGUCCCUGCGGACGUGCCUUAAACGCCUCGGCGGCGGUUCCAAACCUCAAGCGUAGUAAACUUUAUUUAGCUUUUUAGGGUUGGGAUCGUUUGGCCUCGAGAAACUCUCAUCUUAAGGUUGACCUCGGAUCAGGUAGGGAUACCCGCUGAACUUAA